rnacentral:rRNA from 1 species
UACGAAGGGGGCUAGCGUUGCUCGGAAUCACUGGGCGUAAAGCGCACGUAGGCGGAUUGCUAAGUCAGGGGUGAAAUCCCGGAGCUCAACUCCGGAACUGCCUUUGAUACUGGCGAUCUUGAGUCCGGGAGAGGUGAGUGGAACUGCGAGUGUAGAGGUGAAAUUCGUAGAUAUUCGCAAGAACACCAGUGGCGAAGGCGGCUCACUGGUCCGGUACUGACGCUGAGGUGCGAAAGCGUGGGGAGCAAACAGG